AAGCCGUGUUGUGGGCAUGAAUUGACAAGAUCCUUAAACCUUUCCCAACAUUGGUAGAAUGUUUCAUCCUCCUUUUGGGCAAAGCUCAUGAUUGCUUUUCUAAGGGU